rnacentral:rRNA from 1 species
AUUGAACGCUGGCGGCGUGGUUAAAGCAUGCAAGUCGAACGAACCCGCAAGGGUGAGUGGCGAAAGGGUCAGUAAUACGAUCGAACGUACCCCGAGGUGAGGGAUAGCGGCGGGAAACUGCCGGUAAUACCUCAUGAUCUCUCCGGAGCAAAGGUUUACCGCCUUGGGCUCGGCGAUCGUCCUAUCAGCUAGUUGGCGGGGUAAAGGCCCACCAAGGCUAUGACGGGUAGCAGGUGUGAGAGCACGACCUGCGACAUCGAAACUGAGACACUGUUCGGACUCCUACGGGAGGCUGCAGCGACGAAUCUUCCGCAAUGGGCGCAAGCCUGACGGAGCGACGCCGCGUGUGGGAUGAAGCGCCUUCGGCGUGUAAACCACUGUCAGGGGACGGAACCAAUG